rnacentral:lncRNA from 1 species
CUCAGACUAGUGAUACCAGCUUUUCCUGUUCAUCAUCAGUUGGUUGAAUCCAUGGAUGGAGAACUCGUGGAUACAAGGGCUGACUAUAAUGAGAAGAUAUGAAAGCUGAAAAGACAAACAUUACUACAUAUUUACAUAUGUCCAAAGAAGAAGGUAACAAAAGCCUACCUGACUUGAGUUUAUGGUAUAGUUUUCUGAAAGAUCUUGGAGAUUGAGUUGGGCACUAAUUUGGU